CCUGAGGAUUCAUGUUCAGUUUCUAGGAACUGCACGACAGAUCACAGCCGACUCGACUUCCAUUUCCAGACGGUCCAACCCUUCCUCUGGUCUCCAAGGGCACUGCAGAGGUCAGAAGACGGCAUUGAAUGCUCUGGAACUGGAGUUCCAAAUGACUGUGAAUCACCUUAGGUAUGUUGGAAACCAAAUCUGGAUUUUCUGCAAGAUCAACAGGAACAGUGUUCGCCAGAACUGGUAUUGUGUGGCUGUGAUUCUUGAGGGUCAUGAGUUCAGAUCAUCCUCAGCUACAAAGGCCCCUCGCCGUUGCCUCCGUCUGUCACCGCGAGCAUCCAAGCGCAGAAAGGAAAUGCGAAGCGAGACAGCUGUACGGGAGGCUUCGCCUUCUAAAGAAGUUGACAGACAAAUGGCACAGGGGUCCCUGCUCUUGCCAGCUGAGGGCUUAGCUUCCAGAAAGCGCCCCUCUAGGGGAACAAGCGAGGCAGUGUGGAGCUGCUGAAAGGCCUCAUUGAGGCUACAGCCCGAGGCUCUUGUAGCUCAUUGUCUGGUAUGCGGCGCCCUUCCUAAACCGCUCUCCACAGUUCUGCACCCCCCCAACCCCCAAACCUCAGAAACCACCCCCUGCCCUCCGUUACACUUGGUGCUUCAAAUGAAAUUCUCAAAAGGUA
rnacentral:lncRNA from 1 species